ACUUAUUAAUUCCAGUCCUAAAGUCCAGUCGUGCAGCCACCUAAGCAAAUAGUGUGGCCACAAAAUUUAAUUUUUUUACAACUACUGCCAUUAUUAACAAACAGAAAGUAAAGAAUGUUCAUCCAAAUCGCAUAUCUCAGAUACCCAAAAUUGCAGAGAUCCCAAAAGUCAUGCUCCGUCUUUGCCAAUUUUCACUGAUUUUUUGGUUUUUUAACAGGAAUAUCUGUGGGUUUCUUCUAAUAAUUCACAAUUACAGAUGGAAUAACCCCAAAUUGUUGGAUUAUCAGAAACUGCGUUGUCAAUUGACAGUUCCUGUAUGCCAGGGAUGGACGGGUCGAUAGUUGGUAGAUGCCGGUUUGGGUUGAAAACUUAUUCAGUAUUGAUUUUCAAGGAUACCAAGUACGUGGACUUAUGCAGCCAAAUUUGCUCUCAAUUUAAAGAGUUGAAUUCAUGUGAAAUGGAGAUGACAUACGCAAUUGGAAACCACUAAGCAUGUUUAUUACAAGAUGACAUGGAUGUUCGUGUUUUGCACAUGUCUGUAUCCAAUGAAAACAAAAAUUUGGUGGAUAUAGAUAUUGUUAGAGGUGGAGGUACAUUGGAUUUUAUUUGGUGGUCAUCUUGAUGAGAGAAUCCCCUGUGAUUUGGGUUUUCAGUGGAGUUCAUUGUGGAUUGUGGUUGUAUACAUAAUAUAAGGGUGUAGGCUUUUACAUUUUACAGAAUAUGAUUUUAGGUUUUGGACAUUUUAGCGGGGUCCAACAGCUAUGGGUAGUACAUAAAAAUCAUAUUUCUGUCA